GUACACCUGCCCUAGAAGUGGGUAUCACUGAUUCUGUGUACCUUUUAUGUGACCUUCAGAUUAGCACAGAAAUUAUUCCCCAUUGCUGCAAUCACCACCUUUGAAGAAACUCCCCAUUUCCAUUCCUUCUCCUCUGAGCUGUGAAGAGGAGCUCACAGCUCCAGAGUGGCCAGACAUCUGCAUGUGGUUAUCAUCACUGGGGUCUGUAAGAGUGCCCAAGAAGUCACGUAACUACCAUUCACCUGGAAAUGCUGCAGGAUGGACAGAGAAGUGGAAGAAUGUGAAAGAAAAUCAGAAAGGCUGCUGCCAUCACUGGGGAAGAACCAACUUCAGAGCCUGUGAUGAAGAGCUGGUGUUUUCUGAUGAGCUAUUGGCGCAUUAGAGACUGACACGUUCACCUGGGGAGGAGCACACCUGUUCAGUCAACCUGUGUGCAGGAUAAUGUAUGAUCAUCGUGCAUCAGUGCUUCUGGGGACUCUGCCAUUGCACCCAGACUGCUGAGAGAGCCUCCCAUCUGUAAUGCCAAUGUAAGAGCCUACACACAGAAUAAUGUUGGAGCUUGUUUGUUACUCUUUUCACAUACUCCUUUUGGUAAACACAUGAACGUUGAUUCCCUGCUCAUGAGAUAAACCUUCAUUGUGGCAGUAAUGGAUGCAGCUUGCAAACAGGAAAGGAGAUGAGUGUGCUUUUGUUGCCCUUUCAAUCUCCUUCAGUUCUGAUUGUUAAGGCAUAAGAAGUAGAAUACAAUGUUAUGAAAAGUUGAGAACUCUGAAGCUAAGCUGGGAAAAGGAUUCAUGUUGUCCAAGGACAAGUUGGAAGAUAUGCUAUUAUUGAGAAUAGUCAAAUAUAAAACCAUAAACAGAAAUUGCCUGCAGCUGUCAUAAUAACUGUCUGGGCAAUAAAAUGGUAGCUAAAAUUCAAUACAAGAUGGUAAAGUGUAUGAAGAAAUCAGCUCUAAGCAAACUACUGCCACUCAAGGAGCUCUGCAUACUGAAGCAGCUUCCACAGAUAAAGACUCUAAAGACGCUCUGGCUAAACCAGAAAACCAGUUACAGGCUGAUUUGUCACUUUGCUUGAACCCAACUGUGGACAUGACUCUGGCUAGCACCAGCAGCAUAUUUACCUAUUGCAGUGCUAGCAGGAAGUUGGGAAAUGAAUGUCUCUUUGGAACUUUAUUAAAGCAAUGGAUGUGAAAAAUAAGUCUUGUGGAUUUAUAAACAUUCUUACAAAAGGAAUGAGAUAUGGAGCAAUAUUUUGAGAUAAGGUUAAUGCUUUUGAGCUUGCUCUUCCAUGCCUACGGGGUGUAACACAUAUGGUAUUAAAAAAAAAAUCUAUGGUCAAUGCCCAGCCAUCAAUCAAAUAAGUAACUGGGAGGGUCAUGCUGAUCUGGGUUUUGAGGAGUGGUGUGUCAUUUUCGUAAAGCCUCCCAAGACUGACUUUUUACUGCUGUCACUAAGACUCUGGAUGCUCACUGGAACCAAACCAAGCUUGCUGCUGGAUUGAGGAAGGAAACAGAAGGCCAGGAAAUUCAAAUUGUUCUGUUGCCUCUCACCUUUGGACCUACAACUGAUUUCUCUCCCCUGUACCUAUGGAUCAGAAGACAGUGUGUUGUAGUUUAUAAAAAUAACAUUAUGGUUAACACUAGUAGGCAGCUGCUGAAAGCACCUUGAUCAUGUUUGUAGGGAGGUGUUCAGGUUGCUGAUAUGGAGCAUGUCUCAGCUUUGUGGCACCUGUGGAUUAACCAGUGACAGCAAUGUCAAUUGUCCUGUAAGUCUGCAGGAGUCCAGCACCCAUCCUGAGACUGUUCCCAUCCCCAAAUACACACACAGCCCCUUACUUGGUCCAUUGGAGACCGCUUGCAGCACACAAUUUUAGAAUUUACUUUUAUGGCGCAGAUUGUAUCCAAUGAAAAUUGUACAAUUUAGAUAAAUGUUUCCCAGUGUUUUAGCCAUAACGUCGAUUUUUCAGCAUUUUUACUAGUUGGCACUAAUACCACUUACAAUUGCAAAUUACUAUUGAAAUAACAAUCUCAUUAUCAAAUGAAAAACAUCAAAGUACAUGUAAGUGAUUAAAGUGGGAAUCUCAGGAACACGUGCUCAGCUCAGUGAAGAUAAUCCUAUUUCGGUUAAUCUUGAUUACAAAGGAUUCUUUCGUUACUUGGGUGUGAAUCUGCUCAUGGUGCAGAAAUGACUAAUGGAACAGUAGGGGCUUCUUGCACACAACGGGUGUCCUCGGACGCGCCCCCUUUCCCUGCCGUGACCCGAGCG